GCAGUCGAGGGGCAGCAUCAUCAAAGCUUGCUUUGAUGGAUGGCGACCGGCGCACGGGUGAGUAACACGUAUCCAACCUGCCGACAACACUGGGAUAGCCUUUCGAAAGAAAGAUUAAUACCGGAUGGCAUAGUUUUCCCGCAUGGGAUAAUUAUUAAAGAAUUUCGGUUGUCGAUGGGGAUGCGUUCCAUUAGGCAGUUGGCGGGGUAACGGCCCACCAAACCGACGAUGGAUAGGGGUUCUGAGAGGAAGGUCCCCCACAUUGGAACUGAGACACGGUCCAAACUCCUACGGGAGGCAGCAGUGAGGAAUAUUGGUCAAUGGACGAGAGUCUGAACCAGCCAAGUAGCGUGAAGGAUGACUGCCCUAUGGGUUGUAAACUUCUUUUAUACGGGAAUAAAGUUAGCCACGUGUGGCUUUUUGUAUGUACCGUAUGAAUAAGGAUCGGCUAACUCCGUGCCAGCAGCCGCGGUAAUACGGAGGAUCCGAGCGUUAUCCGGAUUUAUUGGGUUUAAAGGGAGCGUAGGCGGGUUGUUAAGUCAGUUGUGAAAGUUUGCGGCUCAACCGUAAAAUUGCAGUUGAUACUGGCGACCUUGAGUGCAACAGAGGUAGGCGGAAUUCGUGGUGUAGCGGUGAAAUGCUUAGAUAUCACGAAGAACUCCGAUUGCGAAGGCAGCUUACUGGAUUGUAACUGACGCUGAUGCUCGAAAGUGUGGGUAUCAAACAGGAUUAGAUACCCUGGUAGUCCACACAGUAAACGAUGAAUACUCGCUGUUGGCGAUAUACAGUCAGCGGCCAAGCGAAAGCAUUAAG
rnacentral:rRNA from 1 species